rnacentral:rRNA from 1 species
UACGUAGGGUGCAGGCGUUAUUCGGAAUUACUGGGCGUAAAGCGUGCGCAGGCGGUUUGCUGAGUCAGGUGUGAAAUCCCCGGGCUUAACCUGGGAACUGCGCUUGUAACUGGCAAGCUGGAGUGUGGCAGAGGGGGGUGGAAUUCCACGUGUAGCAGUGAAAUGCGUAGAGAUGUGGAGGAACACCGAUGGCGAAGGCAGCCCCCUGGGAUAACACUGACGCUCAUGCACGAAAGCGUGGGGAGCAAACAGG